rnacentral:lncRNA from 1 species
AUGGUGGCUAGGAGCAUCUUGCCCCGGAGCGUGCUGGGAGUUGUGGUCUUUGGGCUCUGGCCUUCUGGUCAGCCACGUUGGUUUCCGGAACAUGCUGGGAACGGUAGUUUCAAGUUGCCACUCGGCACGGGGCCAUUUAGGAUGGGCAGUUACUUCCUCCGCGCCAGUGGAGCGGGGUGCCUUUUCUGGCCGUUUCCGUCUGGUGUUCCUUUAAGGAGCAGACGGCCUGGGAAGCCGUGCCUGCCGUUCUGCUUCCGCCCAUGCACGGAGCGGGCUGGCGCGGCAUCGAACAGCGAGCGGUGCAGUAGGCGAAGAGUCGUUGCAUGGCGCGGCGCUCUCUGCUGCCACCUGCUGGCGAGAGGGAGGUACUGCAGGCGGAGACGACGCGCAUGCGCUGUAGUAAUUGCCAAGAUUGGUGCCCCGCAGCAUGCCGGGAGUUGUGGUCUUUGGGCUCCGAGCUUACAUUCGGCCACUUUGGCUUCUGUGGCAUGCUGGGAAAUGCUGCUCGGCUUCCAAGCCAGGAGCAACACGGAGACGGGUAGGAAGGGUAGUUGUUUCCUCCGCACCAGUGGACCGGCGUGCCUCUUUGCCGCUUUCAUGUGGUUUUCCGCAGGGAUCCCACUGCUUGUGUUAACGAUAAAACGUUUUGAGAAGCCGUGCCUGGUUCCAUGCAUGCGCGGAGUCGGACGGCGAAAAAGCAGUACAGCCGGCCGGGCCCGGCGUGCAUGCGCAGUAGUGGUGCGUCGCCCUGUGCCGCCACCUGCUGGUGGGAACGUGAUACUGCAGCAGCAGGUAAACCUUAGGAGGAACUGGUCAAAGGAAACAGUGCUUUCUGGAACUGUCAAGUUCUUGUUCAGCAACUCAGUGACUAGUUUGAUCUACUUCUCAGAUGUAGAGUCUCUUUAUUGCUUUUGCUAGUGGUGGAUAACACUUAUAAGGAAUCGGUCAAAGGAAAGAGCGCCUUCUGGAACUGUGAAGCUUUGCAUUGGUAACUCAGUGACUGGAUUGACCUACUGUUCAUCUCCAGAGGGAUGCAGACUGCUGUUUUAAAAUUAAAAAAAAAAAAUAAUAAAAAAAUUAUGGCACUGCUUUAUGUGGUUUAUGGAACCCAGAAGACUGCCAUUCUACAGUGCCUGGAUGACCACUGCUCUGCGUGGCAGUUAAAAGAAUUUGAUUUGGAGACAGAGAGCAGCAGAAGUGACAUCAGGAGGGGGUUCUUCACAGAGAGGGUGGUUGCACACUGGAACAGGCUCCCCAGGGAAGUGGUCACUGCACCGAGCCUGUCUGAAUUUAAGAAGAGGUUGGACUGUGCACUUAGUCACAUGGUCUGAACUUUUAGGAAGACCAGUGCGGUGUCAAGAGUUGGACUUGAUGAUCCUUAAGGGUCCCUUCCAACUCAGGAUAUUCUAUGAUUCUAAGUAAAACAGCUGGGAAGAGAUAGGUAUUGUAGUAGGUAGAGUGUGGUUAUGAGGUGCCUCAGAGUGUGCUUUUCGUCUUGUUUCUGACAUUCCUUGGUACAGUCCUGGAGAGGUGAAUUCCCCAUGUUGUGGAGUGGUGCAAAAAGGUUUUUUUGACAAAACUAAAACAACCCCUACAAUCAUCCUUAUUGGCAUUGGGAACUAGCCAAUGGCAAGUUUCAAAGGUGUUACUGAGAUGGGAAAAUGCAGAAGACCAAGACCACAAACUAAUAAUAGAUGCACUUAGUAUGGUUCAAGAUAAUGUAUUCUUAGCUCUUAGUUGUAUGCAAGCACAGUUAUGGUUGCAGGCAACAGCUGCCUUGAUCAUUAGGGAAGGAAGUGAAGGCAUUUUUUUGGCCGAAGUCCAAAAGACUGUUUGGGACAAUGCCAAUGAUUUUGAGAAGUUCCAGUCUUGGUGGACCCUGGUAAAUUUUACUUAUGAUCCUGUUGUUAACAUGGCUACUGCCUUUGUGCUUACUAUACAUAAUGCCACAGUUUAUGUUAUCCACCCAAUCAUUGCACUAGGAUUAAACGAUGAGAAGACAGUGCUCUAUCCUUUGGAGCAUAGAACAUGGGCACGGAUGGAGAAUGGGAAAUGGCAGUCUGUAAAUCUAGAAUCAUGUGUUACCCGGGAACAACAAGGAUUUAUUUGUGAGAGCAAUACAAUUGAUGCUCAGGAUGUAUGUUUUGACACGGAGCAACUUUGAAAUUCAUCCAAAUACUAGUCAAAAGACUGUGCUUGUAUAUAUUGGUCAAGGCUAUGUGUGUUUAAGAACUGCUUGUGAUUUUGUAGAAAUAGAUAAGGAGAACAUAACUCUCCGUAGCAAAAAUCAUUCUAACUUCUGUAUUUGUAACUUUGUCAGAAUCGUCGGGUGUGAUUUUCUAUAUUUGGCACUAGUGGUAUCCCACCAGCUGGUCAAGUCUAACAACACAAUGUAUCAUAAGUUACUACCUACACCUAUUGGGAUGAACCUCACGCUAGUGAAGCAACUAAUAAAAACACCAAGACCUGAUUAAAAUUUUAAAAGGCAGUCAGGAAAAUGGAGAGAAGACUCUAAUCACUGUCCAUCAUGAUACAAAGGAAAUAAGCAGAGUUUUGCAAAGAGUAAAACAAGACACAAAUCACAACUGGUGGGAUACACUCUUUAGAUGGUCGCCAACUGCAAAUGGGAUUUUGAACACACUGAGUUACCCAAUUAUUGUUUUAUUGAUAUUAGUUGGUAUAAGUUUAAUAUUUUGUAUUACUUGUUCGGAAUUGGAAAUUGUUACAACGAAUGUCCAUGUUAACCUCCUUGACAAAUGUGCCUGGCAAGGUAUUGAGGGGUACGUAUCAUAAAGACUGGGAAGAAAAAUUUUUGUAUUAAGUAAAAGAAUUUACUAGAUUUUCCAGAAAAGGGGGGAAUGAUAUUGUAUAAACUCACUUUAGGAUAGAAUAAAUCUUGUGGUUAAAAAUUAAUGAGAACAAAAUAGAUGAUAUCUUGUUAUCUGUCGACCUUCUGUUAUGCUGAAGCAUCUUGUUAAUUGAAACAUCCCGUUAUCUGUCGACCCUCAGUUAGGCUGAAACUUGAGAUAGCUUGAGCCAACGCGGCAUUUCUGCAGCUUGGAAAACAACUGAUUCAGCCAGCCUUGCAUUCUUUUAAGCAAAAGGUGAAAAGUGCAUCACGAGGAAGACCUACGGUCUUCCUCCCAAAGACCACUGCCCACGUCCAGAAGACCCCAGCUCACAAUUCUUGGAAGGCUUUACGCAAGCGCAACAACUGAUAAGCUAAUUAGCAUACGAAGUGAAAGUAGGUGGGUUUAGGUAAUGAAUAUGUAUAGGUGUUAAUAGAAUACUAAUUGUUUUGCUGUAUAAAUAUGAGAUAGUUUGUUAGUUCGAACAUGCACGAUAGGUGGAGAGAUCCCCUGUGCACCCAGCACUGCAAUAAAGAAUAUACCACUUAAGGAAAUUUCAGCUUCGAUCUUUGAAUCAGAUUCUAAGGACAUAUGAUUCCCCAUAAUGCGCAACUGCUUACCAGUGAGGGGCAGUUAUGUGUGCGGGUCCGCUUCUCUCAGCUUGAGCUUCUUUCCAGCUCCGGUACACCCAUUUCCAGAAACUUUCAGUAUGAGCUUCUCUGAGCGGUUUGCUGAGUUUGGCUGAACCUAUCUUCAUGAGGCAAUCAAUGUGCCUGUUCCUGUCCUGGUCUCCAUUCUGCUAGCCUGUUCCUUUUCAUUCCUUUUUCCUGCUUCUUUAUUGAUGACAUAACGUCAUCACAUCACAUUGCCUUUUUUAUCUUUAGGGCAAGCUCCCCUCUUAUACCCUUCUCCCCACGGCAGUUCUUUUCAAAACAACUUUUCAUUGGUUAAACAACUUUGAAUAUAACAACAACAGCAAACACCCAGAAACUUCCAUGCCUUAACAGCUGGAGAACAAGAAACCAGUUGGAGAACAAGAAAUCGGAGACUGCAUGGAGUCUCCUGAAUCACCACCCUUCUUUGUUCCCUCUAAACUCUUUUAUAUUCCUGAUGGCCUCAUCGUUAAAAGUCUAAUAUUAUCUCAACCACAGGGCUUUCCAACCCCCAUGGCCACACUCCCAAAUCUCCCCCUUUAUUUUUUAUAUUGAUAUUUAAUUGAUAUUUAUAUCAACCAUUUUCUCGACACAAAUUACCAUUCCAUAUAUAACAUGCCUAACUCCCCACUGUUAGGUAGAGAUUUAUUAUGGGCACUGUUAGGUAGAGAUUUAUUAGAGCAAUUAGGAACAGCAAUAAAAUUUGAAAAAGGGGAGAUUACUCUGGAGGUAAAUGAUCAAAAAUAUAUUCAGAUAAUGAGUUUAGCCCUAGUCAACCUUCCAAUGGAAGGGAAAGUUAAUGAAGAAGUUGUAAACCAGGUAUACCCAGGGGUAUGGGCUACUGAUGUACCUGGGAGAGCUAAAAAUGCCCCACCCGUUGAGAUUAGGCUCAAGGAGGGAAAGCAACCGGUAAGGAUCAAGCAGUACCCUCUAAAGUGGGAAGAUAGGUGUUACAGAGCCUUAGUACUGAAUAAGGAGACAUUGGGGAGGCAAGGACAAUCCCCAUACAAGGACUGUGUAUUUCGAAACAAGACACUGGAACCCAUGAUAAGGAAGCGACAGAUGGACAAAGAAACAACUGUAAGGACUAUAAAUCUCGAAACUGGACAUUGGAAUUCACGAUAAAGAUACAACAAACGGAAGAAUUAGCGACAGCUAGCUCUUGCAAUUAAGAAACAUGCCAACUCAGCAGAAUCCUGACCAAAGGUGAAAAGUAUACUGUGAGGAAGACUCGGGGUCUUCCUCCCAAAGACCACUGCCCACGUCCCAAAGACCCCUGCCCACAAUUCUUGGGAGACUCUACGCAGGUGCAAGAUGCCAAAAGGCUAAUUAGCAUGAGAAGCGAGGGAAGGUGGGGGUAGGUAAUGAAUACGUAUAGGCGCUUGUAGAAUAUUGAUAGAUUGAUUGUAUAAAUUCAAGACUGCUUUCCGCUUUGGGUAUGCACAAUAAGUGGAGAGAUCCCCCGUGCAUCCAGCGCUGCAAUAAAGAAUAUACCACUUAAAGGAAUUUUGGCUUCGAUCUUUGAAUCAGUACUCCGGAGGAUGCCUUUCUCUGUAAGGCUGUAAGCUGCAAGUCAGUUGCCCACAGCAAUGGGAUGAAUGCUAAAGAUGAACUCUAUCUCCAGUACACACCCAAGUAAAUCACUAGUGCACCAGAUAGUGGCUUACAGUAUCAAAUGCAUGCCUUUUGGUGCUACACAUUUAAUUUCUGCAGAAGGUGCAGAAACUGAUGCCUGCUUGAAUCUCACACUGAUGAGCCACAGAUCAAAAUGACCUUACUGUAGCUGACUCUCAGAAGUUUUAGGCUUGUAUUGAGAGUCAUCCUUUGGCUGGGAGCAGCUCUAGCUACGUUUUGAAGUGGCAGUGUUCAAACCUCAUGCAGAGAAGUGGAAGAAGCACAGAGUGGCACAUAGAAACAGAAGUUUGCGGCAUCAAAGGAGCAAGAAACUGGGAACUGAGAUACAUGCAGUUUUUAUGCUACAGAUGCAGAACUGGGAAAUAAAGGACUGGGAGAGAUGGGAAAAACACUUGUGGUCCUUGUUUGCAAGACUUAAAAGUGACCUGGGAAGAUAAAGCAUAUAUCGUCUGAUCUUUCCUACAAUCCAUAUUCCCUCUAUAGAAGCUCACCUCUUCCUCCUUCAGAGGCCUAAAGACAUCUCCAGGAUUCAGGAGAUGUUUCUGCAAAACUGUCUCAUGUG